UGGGCGGUGUUUUGGCGGCAGGGCCAAAACAAAGUGUUUAACAAGACGCUUCAAUCACUUUUAACCAACAUGUGAGGGGAUUAAGUUAAUAAAUUGACAGGUAAACGUGACAACUAUAUUGUCAACAGACUACUGCCGUGCCCACACUGGCUAAUUUUGGCAUUUAACGAUUUGUAGGUCAGUAGGCCGUCUUUUGUUAAACUCUUCAGAGGAUCACGUUGAUUUCCUAUUCAAAGUACGAAGUCUGUCGUUUUGUUUGAGGUGACAGCUACACAUAAGGACUAAAGAUAAUCGCUUCCACCCUUCAUGCUGGCGUUAGGAGGAAAAAAGCCAUCUUGAGAGCACAGCUCAAAACAGGCAGCACUUUAACGUUUUGACCUGAGCAUCUGUCAUUUUGAGGGCUUUGGCGAGCGUCGCGCGCUCCGCGGACGCCAGGUAUUUCUGCCGGUGGAAGCGUUUCUCCAGCUCACAGAUCUGCACGCGACUGAAUGACGUGCGCGGCUUUUUCCGUUUCGGCGGAGUUCGGUUCUGGUACGGAUGACCGAUCCUUCUUGUCACGGAGAACGGUGAAAGAGCAGCUGUGGAAAAAAAAACAGCGGGACUCAGACAGGUGAUGUCAGUAGAAGUGUCUCAUGGCCGGUGAACCCUGCAGACUGUACCUCUGAUGCAACCUCUGCUGAGUGAUGGCAGCAGCAGAUUGACAGCGGUUAAACGUGCGUCUGAGCUCUUCAGCUCCACGCUUCACCUCCUCACACAAAUACUCAUUAAACAGAGCUGUACACUGCCAGAAGAUCUCUGCACAUCAACAGGUCUGAUUGACCUUAGAGAGAACAGCACCACUGGAAUCUCACAAAUGCCAAACACGCUCAAGGAUGUCGAACAACAGUUAUGCUUUUACAGUCUGUUGAGUGCUUUGGGGAUGGGCACUGACUCCAGCGCGUUUGACGUGGAUUUGAGGACUUUUUGUAUAAGUGCUACACCAUGAAGGCCUGCUGUCUCACCCUCUCAGCUGUCUCACCUCUCCAGUCACCGCCUGUCGGUCCCACGACUGACAUUUUAAUACCAACGCACGCCCCCCACCUCCUCCACUUGUCAGACCCCGAACCUGUGCAGGACCUGCACUGACAGCUGGUGAUACAGAGUGCUUUAUAGAAAAUGCAGUUCAGAGAAUGGAUUAGACGCUGAUCAAAAAGAUGAAUCCAUCUGUGAGUGAAUGAAUGAAUGUAUGUGAUCAAAGACAGGCAGCGACGUGCAGCGUGGCCUUCAGUUUGCCGGCUCUGGAGCGUAACGUUUGGUUUACCCCAAGACCGCAGGGCUGAUGGCAGCAAUACCAUUAGAAUGAGAGCAAAAGUUGAAAUUCAAGAAACUCAUUACAUGCAUGAGAAAUGAGCCUGUAUCUCAGUGCAUUGAUGGAUGUGUCCUGGGGUGCCGCGUACAUUUCCCAGACGCCGUUGGCGUGCCGUGACUACAUUUGCAGGGCUGCACGGGAGCUGCUUUAAGAAAACUCACAUUCACAAGUGUCUCCAAGAUUAUGUGACAAGUGAACGCCGGGGGUCAGGUGACGUUUGCCUGCCCGCACCCGCCCAUCCGCCCCUCUGCCGGUGAGAAUUCACCGCCAUUACUCUUCAUAAAAGAUGAUGGAUUAAAGCCUGAUAACACACGGGGCGGCAGCGCUGCUGUCUGAGUCCUGCUCAUAAGAAUGAUGAAGUACACUGCGUUGCCCCGGAGCCCAAACACUGCUGUUGCUUGUGGGGGAGACGGCACAGAAAAUCAGGUGCUAAUGACCAGAGGAGUGAUGAGAGUCAGUGUAGAGGAAGGACUGGACGGACUUCAUCUCGUGCACAGACUUCCUGAAGCUGUCAGACGAAAUCUCCAGCACUCUUCCCCAGUGUGACGAGUGACACAGCGUCUGGACGCUCUGUCCUUACCGUGAGAGUCCAACACUAUCGGUUUGAUUUCUCAUCAAGCACAACCCCCCUCACCGCGGAAGUAUGAUGACAGUGUCCUUCAGCAUUCUAAUAAUUAGCCUUAAGAAAGGGUCUGUCCUGUGUUCAGAGUCACCUUUCACUGCCACCUAUCCCAGAGUUCAUAGCAGCGUUCCGGGAAACGGGUGCUCGGGGGGAAGUGCUGGUGCAGCAGAUAAGGGUCCGUCUAAAGACGCAGACCCCCCAGAGUAAAAGAUAGCAUCCAGACAGUCACAGCAAAGACCUGCCACAUAAUACACACACUCGUCCACCCCCUCUCUCUUUCCCCUCCAAAUCUCCCCCCCAUCUCGGGCCCUCUCGACCUCCUGUCAUCACCAGCUUUCACGCUCCUGCCGGAGAAAGCCCCCGACUGGUGUACGGUUAUCCUCAGCUCCGUCCGAUUCUCGGAAGGCCAAGUUCACCUUUGCCGAUGAGGAGAUGAUAAGCGCUGAUAGUCGGGUAUAGGAAUCGAUCAGCUUCCACUGUUGACAUACCUCCGUGUGUAACCUGUAAUCUGGCGGAGGCAGAAACCUCUCCGAAGGCGUUCCUGGCGGUACACGUGUACACACCUGCAUCACUCGGACCGACUGCUUGAAUCUGGAGCCAGCCGGAAAGGAAACAACAUCCCCCUCUUUCCUCCACUGAAUGGACGCCAAUGGAUACGACGAAACCUCGCAGGAAAAGAUGACGUCACUUCCCCUUGGUGUGACGAUGUCACGGGGAGCGAGAGUGAUGACCGGCUCUGUGGAGUUAGCAGAUGAAAAUCCAAUAUUGAGAAUUAAAACUUAUUAUUAGAAUUUUAAUUCAAAUAGAAUUGUGGUAAACUAAUGGAUUUAAGGUCAUCUGUAUUUUAUGGCAAACCAAAUCUCUGUUAUUCUUUCACACCGACUCCUGUAUAUGACACGUUACCAUUUGUUUAGUUUGUUUGGUUAACUUGGUUAAUUGUCCGAUGGUGUGAUAUCAAACACGUAUUUACAAGCUGCUAAUCUCAAACACGGCAGUGAGAUAAAUACGCAUUUAACGGCUCACUUUUCAUCCUUACAGCUGAACAAAUAGAUUCAUUUGGGCCUUUACAUGACAAACACUUUUAAAUGAGGUGAUUAUGUUAGCACUCAGACUCUAUCCAUAACAAUGCGUUCUCUCGAGAGGACAUUUACAUUCAUAUAUACAUUUACAAUAGCAGAGGCAUUCUUACCAGCAUGAUGUGAGUGGCCAUUACUUUAAAUGAGGUAUCUGAGUAAACAAAUUUAUACAGCAACAAAGAAAACACAUCUAAUACAAUUCUAAACAUGUUUGAGCUUGUUUGCCUUGUAGAAGUUUAAUGUUAUUACUGUAAUACUUUUCCAAAAAAAUGCACAUUUGUGGAACUGGAUUAGGGUCAUAUCUCACCCCAAAAUCAUUUUUUUAUAUUCGUAAAUAAUCAAGAUAAUUUAAACAAAAUUUGGUAACACUUUCCUUGAAGAAUGUUCGUAUAAUGCAUUAUAAAAGUACUUUUAAUGCAUCGUAAUGUCUUAUAAAUAAUUGUUAUUAUAACACUUAUCAAUUCAUUAUUACACUACACAUUUUAAAUUGGUUAUAAUUAUUUACAAUUACACAUAAUGCAUUACAACACACAUUAGGAAGAAUUAUAAUGCAUUUUACCCUUAAUAACCCUUUAAAGUGCAGUAUACAUACAUGCUUCAAGGAAAGUGUUACCCAAAAUUUAUUUGAAGAAACCUCUCAAACUUUUUUACAUUGAAUAUGUAAAAAACACUAAAGUGCUUUGUAUGGAGCUGCAAGAUGAGAUUGUUUCAUAGUCUUAAUAUUAAUAAUAAUAAACAAAUUUGCAUUUCUGAAAAGCAGAAAUGUAAUAAAUAUCGUAAAAAACAUGUAAGAUACCAGAAAAAAGAAUGACAGGAUAAAUAAUGAUAAAACAAUAUAUACAAUUUUGUGCUUUUUUUAUUUUUGGAGAAAUCAUGACCUCCGU